GUACACUCCUGCGGGAGGCAGCAGUGGGGAAUUUUGAACAAUGGGCGAAAGCCUGAUCCAGCAAUGCCGCGUGAGUGAAGAAGGCCUUCGGGUUGUAAAGCUCUUUUGUCAGGGAAGAAACGGUGAGAGCUAAUAUCUCUUGCUAAUGACGGUACCUGAAGAAUAAGAACCGGCUAACUACGUGCCAGCAGCCGCGGUAAUACGUAGGGUGCAAGCGUUAAUCGGAAUUACUGGGCGUAAAGCGUGCGCAGGCGGUUUUGUAAGUCUGAUGUGAAAUCCCCGGGCUCAACCUGGGAAUUGCAUUGGAGACUGCAAUGCUAGAAUCUGGCAGAGGGGGGUAGAAUUCCACGUGUAGCAGUGAAAUGCGUAGAUAUGUGGAGGAACACCGAUGGCGAAGGCAGCCCCCUGGGUCAAGAUUGACGCUCAUGCACGAAAGCGUGGGGAGCAAACAGGAUUAGAUACCCCAGUAGUCCCA
rnacentral:rRNA from 1 species